rnacentral:rRNA from 1 species
GACGAACGCUAGCGGCGUGCUUAACACAUGCAAGUCGAGCGAAGCGGCGGAUGGGUGAGUAACGCGUGGGUAACCUGCCCUUAAGUCUGGGAUACGAUUUGGUAACAGAUGCUAAUACCGGAUACUAAAGGAUGGACCUGCGAUGCAUUAGCUAGUUGGUAAGGUAACGGCUUACCAAGGCGAUGAUGCAUAGGCGAGUUGAGAGGCGAGUCGGCCACAUUGGGACGGAGACGCGGCCCAGACUCCUACGGGAGGCAGCAGUAGGGAAUCUUCCACAAUGGACGAAAGGCUGAUCGGGCAACGCCGCGUGAGUGAAGAAGGUUUGCGGAUCGUAAAGCUCUGUUGUUGGUGAAGCGGUAUUCAACCAGAAAGGCACGGCUAACUACGUGCCAGCAGCCGCGGUAAUUC